CACGCAAAAGAGGCCCAAAAUUGUUUCAGAAAAUGGCACAGACCAAUCGGGAGGAAGCAUGGGUUGUACCUCAACGCAGGAUCCUGAGGUGUCUUCUAAAUCUCCAGAAUCAUCCCAAAUGAUAUCCACAGAUGCAUCACAAAUUGAAAAAGGCCAAGCCUCAAAAGGACAGAAGAGGAAAUGGACAGCUGAAGAGGUGGAAGCUGUGGAAAAAACGCUUCUGAAUUCAAUCCUGACUGGUAGAGUACCUGGUAAAGCACUGUGCCUGGAAUGCAUCGAGGCCUCUCCAGAAGCCCUGUCAGGACACUCUUGGCAAGGAAUCAAAUUCUAUAUAAAAAAUCGUAUAGAUUCAGCCAAAAGAGA